rnacentral:rRNA from 1 species
UACGAAGGGGACUAGCGUUGUUCGGAAUUACUGGGCGUAAAGCGCACGUAGGCGGAUUUGUAAGUCAGGGGUGAAAUCCCGGGGCUCAACCUCGGAACUGCCUUCGAUACUGCGGGUCUCGAGUCCGGGAGAGGUGAGUGGAAUUCCUAGUGUAGAGGUGAAAUUCGUAGAUAUUAGGAAGAACACCAGUGGCGAAGGCGGCUCACUGGCCCGGUACUGACGCUGAGGCGCAAAAGCGGUGGGGAGCAAACGAGG